AUUAGACAAAAUGCUUCCACUUUUAUAAAAAGAUGAAAAAAAGAUAGAAAACUCUCCAUACAAAAAGUCUAUGUCCCUUUACGUCCAAUUACGCUGGAGCUCUGGGUAAAAUGCUAUAGUGCAUGACCAUCAUUGGGACAUAAGUAAUGUGUGUGCAAACUCAGAAUAGGUAAAGAACCAGCGUUAUAUUGCUUGUCAAGGUCCUACACAAAGUACACUGACAGACUUUUGGAGGAUGAUUUGGCAAUUAAAAUGUAAUACUAUAAUCGCAUUAAACGAUACGAUUACUGCAGGAAAG